rnacentral:lncRNA from 1 species
CUCUCUUUCUUUCUCUCUUUUUCUCUUUGCUCAUUUUUGUUUCUUAAAUUCCACAUAUGAAUGAAAUCAGAUGAUAUUUGUCUUUCUCUAAUUUAUUUUGCUUAGUAUUAUACCCUCUAGCUCCAUCCAUGUUGUUGCAAAUGGUAAAAUUUCAUUCUUUUUUUAUGGAUGAAUAAUGUUCUAUAUAUACAUACACACAUUCCAUCUUCUUUAUCCAUUCAUCUGCAGAUGGACACGGCUGCUUCCAUAAUUUGGCUAUUGUAAAUAAUGUUGCUAGAAAUAUAGUGGUGUGUGUAUACCCUUAAAUUAGUAUUUUCAUAUUUUUUUUUAGUAGAUGCCCAGUAGUACAAUGACUGGAUCAUAGGGUAGUUCUAUUUUUAAUUUUUUGAGGAAGCUCCGUCUUGUUUUCCACAGUAGCUGCACCAGUUUGCAUUCCCACCAACAGUGCAAGAUGGUUCCUUUUUCUCCACAUCCUCAUUAACACUAGUUCCUUCUUGUGUUUUUUAUUUUAGCCAUUCUGCCAGGUGUGAGGUGCCAUCUCCUUGUGCUUUUGGUUUGUAUUUCCCUUGUGCUUUUGGUUUGUAUUUCCCUGUGACAUUAAGCAUCUUUUCUUGUCUCUUGGCCAUUCAUAUGUCUUCUUUGGAGAAAUGUCUGUUCACAUCUUCUGCCCAUUUUUAAUUAGGUAAUUUGUGGGGUUUUUUUGGUGUUGAGUUUUGUAAGUUAUUUAUAUAUUUUGUAUACUCUUUAUGACUUUGACACUUUUGAAGAGUACAAAUCAGAUAGUAAGGUCUACCUCAAUUGGGAUCUGACAUUUUCCCAUACUUAAACUGGAGUUAUGAAUUUGCAAGAAAAUUUUUACAAAGGUGAAAUGCCUUCAUUGCAUCAUAUCUCAGGAUACAUGAUAUUAACAUGCCUUACUAAAAAUGUUGCUUUAAUCAUUUGAUCCACGUAGUGUCCAGCAAGCUUCUUGUAAAGUUUCUAUUUUCCCUUCCCGUAAUGCAUCUUAAAGUUUACUCUACUAAUCUUGUCUACAGCAACUAUUGCUGUGCUAUUAUUGGUGAUUUUCUAAUUCCUUUAUCUCUUUUACAUUUAUUAUUUGGAAUUCUUCUGUAAGAAAGAUAUAUCUUUUCGUUUCUUUCUUCCUUUCCUUUUCUUUCUUUCUUUCUUUCUUUCUUUCUUUCUUUCUUUCUUUCUUUCUUUCUUUCUUUCUUUCUUUCUUUCUUUCUUUCUUUUAGUAUUAGUUAUAUCAGUAUGGACUCAUAGGUAUUUAUUUGAUUUCUUUGGGUUAUAAUCUAAUACUUUCAUUAUUUGUUGCCUAUAUUAUGCCAGCUUUGAUGAUUGGGAGCUCUUUCAGGAUAAUACCUUGGUCCCCAUAUCCUUUCCACAUGCUCCCAUACUUUACUGUUUUAUUGUUAUUUGUGUGUGUGUGUUCAUGUGUGUGUUUAAGCACUCCCUUACUUUAUGGAACAAUAAAUAUUUGACCUGUUUUUGAUUGGUCAUGAAGCAUUUAUGCAAACACAGCUGAAAGUAUUAGCUACAGAGCAAAACAUGGUAUUGUGUAGCAACAUUGCAUCCAGCAAGUUAAGAUCCUUUUUCUGAGCUAAUAUUGCAGAAACACUCUCAUUUAUAAUGAUUGUUAUGGUAAUAAAAAUAUUUUGUGUGCCACAUUACAGUUGGAAAAUAUUAUCUCUGAUUCCUCUUGGAAUAUCUUUACUUUGAUGGGCAUAUUAUUGUUAAAGAUUAUAAGGAGAUUUUAGGACUAUUAGGAUAUUAGGAACUAUGGAGUUUUAAAUCCUCAAAAUAGGAUACAAAACCAUUUCUCAAUGGCAAACUUUCUCCUUUUUCUAAUGUGCACGGUGAGUGGCAGUAUUAUCUCUAUUUAUAUAGAGAUAAUUUAUAUACACCAAAUUAGAAGGACCUUCACAAGAAAACAAUGGUCAUAUCUUAUAAGGAUGCUUCUCAGGUUUUGGGGAACUACACAGUAAAAAUAUUUAUUGAGUUUUAAGAGGGAAAAAUGUAGUUAGUCUAAUUAGUGCAAUAAUAGAUUUCUUGAUAAAUUUCUGUAAGUUAAACAGUGUUACCAGGUACUUCCUGUGAGAUACCAUCAGCAACAUACAUCACAGAAAACAUGUCAUUCUCUGUAACUGAUGUAGUUAUCUCAUAGGUACAAGGAUCAUUGUAAUGCCAUUUUAUCCCUUUAAAAAUUUUAAACAUGACAGUUUUGUUUUUCCCAAAAACUAAUUGCUGAAUAAUAUCACUAUUAAAUAUAUAUUUUUCGAGAUAAUAUUAUUAACUAUGGUUCAGUCAGAAACAAAAGUUAAUUUUUGUAGAUGAAUCUUACCAUAAAUGCUGCUGGUAUUAUUUUGAUAGAAUACCUUAGAAUUUCCCCAAUUUUCUUUGGGAAUAGGGAUAUAUCCAAAAGUUAAUUAAAGUUUCUAUUCAGUUAUAUAUACACUCUUAUUAAAUCUAAAAAAAAAAAAAAACCCAUCUAAAUAAAGAGUUUAUCCUAAAAUUACCAUAAUUAGAAAAAUAAUAAUAUAAAUUAUCAAAUGAGUUAAAAUACAUGUAAGUAGCGCUAUUUAAAGAUACCAAUCUUGGGGCACCUGGGUGGCACAGUCGGUUGAGUGUCCAACUUUGCUCAGGUCAUGAUCUCACAGUUUGUGGGUUCGAUCCUCAUAUCGGCUCUGUGCUGACAGCUUAGAGCCUAGAACCUGCUGCGGAUUCUGUGUCUCCUUCUUUCUGUGCCUCUCCCCUGCUCACUCUGUCUCUGUAUCUGUCUCAAAAAUAAAUAAACAUUAAAAAUAUAAACAAAGAUAUCGAUCUUGGCUAGUUAUUCUCAAGUAAAGCUACUUUAUAUUGUUUAUGGUACUGAAAUUUUGUUGAGAGUUUUUUUCUGCUAGUCUGAUACCAAUACUGUCCUGCACACACACAUGCACACACACUUAGAGAUAUUUAUUAUUUAUAUUAAAAUGUAUUGGUUUAUUAUUGAGAUUGAUAUUCUGAGAUUCAUUACAAGGAAUUGCCUUAUGUGAUUAUGGGGGGGGUACCUAAGCAAACCCAAAAUCAGUAGAGCAGGUAGUCAGGAGGGGAGGUUGUAAGUAGGAAGGCACUCCACUGGCACAAGACCAGAGGUAUUAUCCACAGAUGGAAUUUCUUCUUCCUUGGGAAAGCAUACCCUUUUAAGGCUUUCCAAGGGAGUAAGGAAGAUCCACUCCAAUAAUCUAGAAUGAUUCCUCUUACAAAAGUUAAACUGUUUAGGACUUUAAUUGAACCAGAAAAACUCUUUUCCAGCAAUACACAAAUAUGAGAUUGAAAGACUAGGGACUGUAACCUAGCAAGUUUAACAUAUCAAAAAAGCUAUCAUAGCCAUAAUUCAACCUCCCCUUCUCUUACAUUCUUUUUAAUUUAAUUAUAGCAGUAGCAACAAAGAAAAACAUAACCUGAAUAUUUAAAACAGUAUUUUUCUUCCCUCAGAAUCACUGAUUUUUUUCUUAAAUUAUAUGAGCAUAUAUUAUUCUAUUCUUACCAUUCAGCAUUGCAAGUAGAGUUAUAAUUAGGAGAUACAUAAAAAGGUGGGAUUUCUCAAAGUGAUAUUAGUUUUGAGCAUCAAGACCCCGUGUUUAAUGUAAAGUCUUAAUGUAUUACAAAGGAAAGUUAUAAGGAGUGAUGCAGAAACAUUGUCAGUGGGGUCAGAAGUAUAAACAUUUAGCUAUUAAAGUUCAAGACUCUAAAUAAUGUAAAAAAUUUUGGAAAUUUAUAUGGUAUGAUAUACAGUAUGAUAUACUGUAUGAUAUAUAUGUAUAUGUAUACAUGUAUACAUGUAUAUGUAUAUACAUAUACAGUAUAUGUAUACUGUAUGAUAUAUACAGUAUGAUAUGGAAAGUGUUUCCUUAUUAAACUUCAGUGUAUUACACUUUAUUUAUAAUUUAUUUUCUGUGACAACACUGCAAAUGUCUAAGAAUCUUACAGAGGAUCAGAAAUGCAAUAUUUAGGGGCACCUGGGUGGCUCAGUUGGUUAAGUGUCCGACUUUGGCUCAGGUCAUGAUCUCACAGUUUGUAUGUUCGAGCCCCGCGUCAGGCUCUGUCCUGACAGCUCAGAGUCUGGAGCCUGCUUCACAUUCUGUGUCUCCCUGUCUCUUGGCUCCUCCCCUGCUCAUGCUCUGUCUCUCAAUAGUAAAUAAAUGUUAAAAAAAUUAAAAAAAAAGAAAUACAAUAUUUAGGACAUACAAACAUGUGUCUUUGAUUUCCCAAGGUCUAAAUCUAAGCAUGAUUAAUACUGUUUUAACUCAGUGUUUUGUGUUGUUUUGUUUUUAUUAAAUUUGCAUUACUACUAAAGUCUGAUUGAGACAGCACUUUAACAUAUUGUUGUUUUUUUUUUUUUAAUUUUUUUUUCAAAUUUUAUUUAUUUUUGGGACAGAGAGACACAGAGCAUGAACGGGGGAGGGGCAGAGAGAGAGGGAGACACAGAAUCGGAAACAGGCUCCAGGCUCUGAGCCAUCAGCCCAGAGCCCGACGCGGGGCUCGAACUCCCGGACCGCGAGAUCGUGACCUGGCUGAAGUCGGACGCUUAACCGACUGCGCCACCCAGGCGCCCCAACAUAUUGUUUUUUAAAGAGAAUAGGAAAAAUUUUAUACUUACUUAAAAACAGAAUACCUGUAACAAAUCAUGGACAGAGGUGCAUGCCAAUACUUUGGUUAUUUCCCCUUUAACAUUUUGAAGGCUACUUUCCAGGGAACCUUCCAACCAGGAAGCUUUAGUUCUUUCAUUUUUCCCUCAAAUACCUUAGAUGACAUUCUUCUGGUUCUCUUAUCUGCUCCAACUUCCUGACCAAAGGUUAAUCUGUAUAGGUAAGUAGAGGAAAAGGCUCAAUUAGAGAUCAAAUUUACAUCUUUUCUUGAAGUUUCCUCUUAUUAACACCUAACCCUAAAUUAUCUGCAUCAUGAAUACCUGAAGUGCUUGUUAAAAAUCUAAUUUCCUAGGCUCCAGCCCAGAAGCAGAAUUACCAUAGUGGGACCAAGGAAAUCAACAUGAUAGAACACCCCUGAGUAUUCUCCUGUGCACUUUAUUUUGAGAACAACUACUUUUAGGUAAACUAUUUGUAACAUAGGACUUCAAAUAUUUAAACUUUUAGGAAAUACUUGUUUCUCUGUAGUGCAUUUUGUACUAUUCUUUAGGAGAACAAUAAGAAACUAAUCAUUUAAAAGUACAUAUCAACUAGUUUAGAUCAUUCGAAUGAAUCACCCUGAGAAGGCUUCCUACCUCCCCUGUCAAUUGAACAACUUAUUUAAGGAGCUCUGUCAGAUACAAUCCACUUUACUUCACUUUGUCCCCCGCUGAUACCGUUUUACAGGGGAUUGCCAACACGCUGAGUGCCUGAGGGAUCUAAACUCAGAUUACAAAAGCAAACCCUGAAUGCAUGCUCUCUGGAAGGUAGACUUCUAGCAGCUACAAUACCAAGUGUUUAGGAGUGUGUCAAAUAACAGUGACACCCCCUUGCAACUGUUUCCCUUUAUGAGAUAUUUUUAAUGCUGAUCCUCAAGAAAAGAUUCUCAUGGACAGAUUUCUAGUAUCAAGAACUCACUAGAGAUCAUAGCACAAAGUCAUGCUCCAUAUGCAUUCUGUAGCCAAAAUUCCAAGUCUGGCCUAGAGAUGAGAGGAUAAUUAAAUCAUGUCUUCUCCCAACCCACCCACCCCCACAAAUAAUUGUUUCACUUUAUUCUUGCUAAAGAUCCUUUGAGCAAUAUUACAAUGCUAUUUCUAUAAAUACAGAGCGAGAUCUAUCCCUCACAUGGAGAUAAAUGUCCAAGCUCUUUUCCUAGUAUGUCAGGAAUUUAAGAAACUUUUGUUUUCUUGCUCUUUGAAGACUGCAGCCAACUAACAUGCUAACAAAAUAAAGACUUUACAAUACAGCAGGCUGAGAAGUCUAUUCAGAAACCUAUCAAUUGAACUGUAAUUUUAAAAUCAUAUGUAACUGAAUUUUAAAAUUCGUAGAUACCCGCUGCCUGCUUGUAAAACAGACAUGGUGAACUCCAUUAGAAACUGUCAAUAGCCAGACCUUUCUUCCCGUUCCACUACUGAACUCAAAUCUUAGAAGCUUAUCCCUGGAAGAUUUGCAUAGUCCCAUCAAAGCCAUUCAGUCUAUAGUACUCAAAGUAAUUCAGACAAACUUAUUUCUUUUUUUUUUUUUUUUUUCAACGUUUAUUUAUUUUUGGGACAGAGAGAGAGACAGAGCAUGAACGGGCGAGGGGCAGAGAGAGAGGGAGACACAGAAUCGGAAACAGGCUCCAGGCUCUGAGCCAUCAGCCCAGGGCCUGACGCGGGGCUCGAACUCAUGGACCGCGAGAUCGUGACCUGGCUGAAGUCGGACGCUUAACCGACUGCGCCACCCAGGCGCCCCAAGACAAACUUAUUUCUAAUUAGGAAAGAUGCAUAGCAAACAAAACAAACAAGGAGGUCUUCAUUCCUGCCAGCUUAAAAGAGAGUCUUUUCACCACCGGCUCAUAUGCAAGCCUUUUAAUUUUUUACUUUUAAUUUUUCAGAGAGCUUACAUACUCCCUCUGCAUUAAGUACUACUGUUAAACAGAUCCAAUAUUCGAUUAAAUUCAGUACUCUUCAAGACACAAAGGCAGACAUAAAAAUUUAAAAAUAUGCCCUCAAGGAACUUAUUCCUAAAAUUGUGUGGAGGACAAAGUAAUUAUGAAGAUGAUGUAAUGGCAUAUUUUAGGUGUCUCAGAAGAAGGGGGAAAGUACCAUUGAGGUUCAAAGCCAGACUUUUUUGAGUCUAAAGUCUCAGAGGUGACCCUGACCUCCUCCAGGUAACAAGGGAGCUACUAACUUGGAAAAUAGUAAAUGCAUGGAAUGCUUAAGUUUACAGUAAAGAAGGACAUGUUAACAUACUGAUUUUAACAUAUUGAUACCAAGCCAUAGCACAUCAAUUUUGAAAAUACUGCCUCUGUUGGAAUUUGGUGAAACAACUUAGCCUCUUAAGUUAUGGAGGCAGCACAGUCCAGAGUUUAGGAGGAUGUGAAGUAGCAUAAACCACGGUACUGCUACAAGUUACCUAAGGUAAUAACUAUGUGACCUUGAGCUAAUUACUUUUCUUCACACCCUCAGUUUCCACAUUAUUAAAAGGGUGAAACAAUAGUACCUAGGCUUGUUUCGAUUGCCUAGUACACACAUAAGUGUGUGCACACACAUGGUCUUUAGGAAGCUUGGAGUUUGCCAUCCUAAAUACUUUGUGAGCAUUAGCCACUCUGAGUUUGUCAUCAGGAAAAACUCUUAAUCUCAAAGCAAAGAAGUAUUGGGACAAGAAUCUAUUUUUGCCCUUGGCUGAGUGACAAAUCCAAAUAUUAUACACUUGUAAGUAAUGUAGAGGAGUAAGAUGGGCCACAAAUAAAUGUUUAUUUCUAUUUUUGAAAUCUAGAGUCUGUGGUUCUUCUUUUGUCUUUCCUUUUUGACAAAGACAUAGGUACAGAUAAUAUUUCUAUAGUAUAAGGAGAGCAGCAGAAUGAGGACAACAAUGAAUGGCAAAUGUCACUCUUCUGUGAUGUCAGGAGGAUGAAAAACAAUUGUGGAAAUUGUUGAUUUGGGUAGUUUAUGCCCCUUCUAGAAAGAAUAGAUGUUACUCAGAUCUUGACAACCCUUGUCAUGUAGAAUUUCAGAUAUGAUGUUAGUGGAUUUUUCAAAAGAAAUUGGAAAUCUUGAUUUCUUAAAAAUAAAGUCUACUGGUUGAAAUGUAAAGUUGAAACAAAAAAAACAACAAAAAAUUCCAUUCACACUUAUUCUGCCUAAGAAACUGUGCUUGUGAAAUUGCUCAUAUAACCUCCAUCUUAUUGUUCUAUUUGAUGUAACCAUAAAUAUGUGUGUUCCUCUCUUGUCUAUUUAUAUUACCAGUGAAGGGAAUUGGCAGUAGGCAACCCCUGAGACUUUUUUUUUUUACUGCCAAAUUCCUGCUAUUUUUUUCUCUCAGCAUCCCAAUAGAAAUCAGAGGAGCAAUGUUAUCAUGUUUGGCAUCAUCAGUGAAAAACUGGACACUAUUUAUAAUUUAGCCUAAUAAUUCUAAACCAUGUCUCAUAUUAAAACAACUCAAGUUUUCUGAUUGAAUUAGUUACAAGUCGGUCCAGGGCAUCAUUGUUAUUUUAAAGCUUUCUGGGAAAUUCUAACACAGAGACAGAGCUCCAAUAACUGCUCUAGUUUGGACUUAUCUUUUUACACAUAAGGAAAUUGAAGACAUCAGGAAAUGAUACACUUAAAUAGUCUCAUAGACUAAUUACAAAUUAUGCCUGACAUGUGCCCUAAGUGCUAGUGUUAUGUAUAGCUGCUGAAGUGGUCACUGUUAGUCUUUCCGAACAUUGUGGAUUUGUUUUCUACUAUAGGCAAUUUAGCUUAUUAAAAGACCAAAGCAAAGCAACUACUGGGGUCAAGGACUUUAUCUUUUAUUAUCUCAGAACCAAAAUUUCAACUCAUAGAUUCCAUUUGAGGCUGUAAACAGUGGUUCUGUAAUGUCAGAUGAAACACUGACAUGCUUAUGAAAUCACCACAAAGUACAUUUUCUCUUGGGUGACACCUAUAGUGGUCCCGUUGAAUCAAGUUUUGUAUUUAAAGUGCUGCAUUUCUUAUUUAAUGUGACAAGUGGUUGAGACUAUUAAUUUUCUUUUCAGCAGACUCCUAAGAGGAAAAAUAAAAGCAUGGUCUCACUAGAAGGAAAUAUAUAACAUCAACAUGUAAUCCAUACACCUCAAGGACCACAAAUUUGCAUAGGCACUUAGAAUAGUACCUCACACUAAAUAUAUGUUGUAAUUACACUUACAUUAUUAUCUCUAGAAUUCUCUCAUAUACAGAGAGUAUUUUAGAAUAGUUCAUACAGGGAGUGUAUUUUAUUAUUUGAUAAUGUUUUAUAUGAGUUUGGAGCAGAGUUAAGCAAACUGUUUUUUUUUUUUCUUUUUUUGUAAAUGGCCAGAUAGUAAAUAUUUUAGGCUUUGCAAGUAUUUAACUCUACCAUUGUAGUGGGAAAGCAGCUGUAGAGAAAAUGUAAAUAAAUGAGCAUGCUGUGUCCCAAUAAAACUUUAUUUAUAAAAGCAGGCUUCAGGCUGCAGGUUGGAGUAGACCCAUGGAUCAUAAUUUGCCAACUUCUGCUAUAGUGGGUAAUAAUAAAUGACACCCAAUUUUUGAAUAUUGAUCUAGUUAUAAGUAUGUAUGCUUCCAUAACUACAGAAAUCCCCAUUUAACUCAAUAUGAAAAUAAAUCUAGGCAAUAUACAUACUUAGUUAAGUAGAAUGAUCAAAUCAAAUAUAUUUAAAGCAUUUGAUGAGUUGUAGGAAUAGUGGUAGAGAAGCUAAAAGCUAUAAGAAGUUGCAAAAAUAUCUUCUUUUCUGUGAUAAUUUACAUACCGUUUGAAAAAGAAGAUCUAACCUAGGAUUUUUUAUUCUUAUGACUCAAAUUAGACAAAAAUUUUUGAAAACAGGCAUAUUGUACUACAAUGGGUACUCACUAAAAUCAUCUUAUUUCUCUUGAUCCUUACCCUGGUUAUUUGUUUGAUCAAUUUCUAAUAAGAUUUGAUUGAGACUGGGAUUCAUACUUCAUCAGUUUCUCAAUUUUAAAAUGAGACAUUAAUCCUUUUGCAAAUUCUACCAUUUCUACCUUUACUGGGUAAUAAAUGCCACCACAUGUACACCUGUCUACAUAGUCCCCUACUGAGUAGAUGCAACAGCUGCUGGUAAACAUUGCUUAGGACCUUGCUACUCAAACUGAUUCAUGGGCCAAUAGUAUUUAUAUCACCUGGGUUAUUAUUAGAAUUAUUAGAAAAGCAGAAUACUGAAUCAGAAUCAUAUGUGUAUGCAUUAAAGUUCAAAAACCACUACUUAGGACACAUACAAAAUAUGCUUUUAAGUGACUCAGUUGAAAUUGGAGAUGACUUUAUGAUCUUAUAAUGUUUAUUUUAAUUAGAAAUUUACCCUAAGGGUGCCCUAAACAGUAGGGACUCAAGCCUUGCCUAGGACUGCAAAACAAAUCCAACCAAAUGGGGAAAAUGUCCUUUAGCCAAGGAAAUCAGAGUAUACAAUUGAAAAUAUUUACUUUUCAACUGACACCUCUUAUAUCCUAUUGAGAGAAUCAUUAUACUCAUAUAGUUAUUACGUGGUAAGUUGGCCCAAGGGUUUUCAUUACUAUUUUUUAUGCUAACACCUGGAAUAUAACUAUUCCAGAGGUGUAAACUGCCCAAUGAUAGGAAUGUUGACCAUAGAACACUGGAAUGGAAUAUGGAGGCCACAUUUAUAAGACACUAGAGAAUCCAUUAUUUUCACUUUAACGUCAAUUCAACAACACUUCCAUCUUAGAGGAUAAGGAAGGGAGAGUUAGCUCUCCUUUUCAAACCUCUGACAGCAUUUUAGUAUAUUAUUCCCCAGAGUAUACUGCUUUGGUCCUGACCCAUAUUUCCAUUGAAUUACACCUUGACAUUAGGAGUAGACCAGAGGUCCCCAGAACAGAUGGUUGUACACUUUCCCGAUAGGUGUACAAAGUAGUCCGUGGGGAGAAGAAUGGCAAUAUUGAAAUUUUAUUUCAAAUUUUUUAGUUUCCUCAUACUUCACUUCAAAUUCUGUACUACUUACUAAUAUAAGUGUCCAUUAAUAAUGAAGUUAAUAUUAAAUACUCAUAUAUUAGAGAUGCAGAUUCACUCGUUUUACUUAGAGUAGUAUACAUUCAAAACAUGGAAGCCUUUAGAGUAGAAAACCAGGAAAGCUCCAAAAUGAUUAUCUAUCAGAAUUAUUUUUAAUUUUUCAAUCUGUAUAUAUACUAUGGAUAUUAGAAUAAAUUUAAAAGACAUUUCUUAACAAAAUUGAUGAAUAUUUUGUUAUUUUAUUAUUUCAAUUAGUAAUCUAUAUUUUAGGAGAGCAUUAUUUUCUUAUAUAAUGUAUAGAGAACCAUAGACAUUAUAUGGUACAAGAAACUGGAUUCAUAAUUUUUUACAAUAAAAUACCAAAAGAUCAUUAUUUCCAUGAGCAGCCAAGUCAACAUAUAACUCUUAAAUGAUUAAAGUGUAGUCAUUUUCACACACAAAGAAAACUUAUAUUUUGACUCACUUUGGCUUCUAUUAUUCUGACUAUAUGCUUCCUUUUUAUUACUUGUUAACUCUACAUAGUAGUCUUCAAUUUAUUUUUCCUACAUUUCUAUCCUGGCUGUCAGUUUCAGAUGUAUAGUGAGUAGCUUUAAAAACAGUUUCUGCCUCAACUCUCCUAACUGCUAUAAAUGUUGAACUACUUGCCAAACUGAAGUCUGCCAUUGCCUUAAAUCUGUACCUUCUGAAUAGUUAACAGGAUCCCCUAUUUUUAAUGUUUGAAUAUAACGGAAAUACACCCAGAUGCUUUUAAGUAAAACAAAAAAGUGCUACUUUGUGCUUUGAAGAACAUGCCAGUCAUGAAACAUACUUCUGAUCGAUUUCAACUGACUACAUCCUUAUUGGUCUGUGUUUAUAAGCAUUAAAGAUAACUUUUUCACCUUUCUUUAUAAUAUUGAGAUUGCUCUAGCAGAAUGGAAUGGAUCAACAGUUCUGUUCAAUACUUCUGUGUCAGUCCCAGAGACACAUGCCUAUGCUUGUCUUUUAAAACAGCGAAAGUAUAUACCACCUCAUAAACUUUUAUUUGUAAGAGCAUUUGUAGUGUCAAAGUACAUUAAUAGGUUUUUAGAAUUAAAAAAACUAUUAUUGCAAAGUUUGACCAAGAUUAAAUAAAAUGUAAAUGAAUUUUGGCUAACUAAUGCUGCUUAAACACUAUAAACAAUGAAGGAUCCCACUGAAACACUAAAGACCAGGAUUGUACUGGCUGUUCACCUAAUUUUGAAACUUCUUAAUGUAGCAUAAAUUACAAUAUGAUAAGCAUAUGAAUUAUUUUGGCUUCAAUUUUCAUUUUUUUCUUUAUGCCCCUUGCUGCAUUUUAGACUCUUAAUUUGUUACCUAAUUACCUAUUAACAUUAAGUAUAUAUUAGAGGUUAAUGCUAUAUUGAAAUACCUAUAUAUGUAUAUUCAUAAAUGUAGUUUUAUACAAAUAAAACACUAUAGAUUUGAAUGGAUUUUGUAGAUAAUAUUUAAUUAUUUCUAGAUAAAGUAGCAACCUGGGAGUUGGAAAACCUUAGUUUGGAUCCACUACUAAUUAAUGACAUAACUUUGGGUAUGAAUGUCAAUUAAAUUUCUGGACUUUAGUUUCUUCAUGCAUCAAAAGUAGAUGAAACCAGUUUUAUGGAUUUGCAGUAUUUUCUGUAUUGCAAAAUAGAUCAUUUGAAAUCUAUAAAACUCUAAUAAGAAGUGCCUUGUUACCAAUAAUGUCACAAAAUGAGCAGUGUUUAAGUUUUAAGUCAACUAGGUCUUCCCAUUGGGCCAAUGCGAAUUUAAUUUCAGUGUGCAUAUGCAUAUGUGUGUAUCUAUGUGUCUGUAUGCCAUUAAAAUUUAUUUUUAAAAUUUGAACUAGAUUUUACCAAUAGUUUCUAUUCCCCCUCCCUGCCAGCCUACAUAUGUUAAUAAAGUUUGUCAACAUCUCAGUUACCAAAGUGACACUAUUUCAUAUGUCUUCUAUGAGCUAAAGAAGGUAUUAUUCAAUAUGUAAGCAUUCAGAGACCUCAAAAAGACUCUACUAAAAGGAAUUAUUUUUUUCUUUAUACUUUCCUUUAAUUGACACUUAACAUGAACAGUCUCUGCCUUAAAAAAAAAAUACUAGUAAGUAAAAAUUCAAAAAUAAAACUAAAAGUAAUGGUUUUAUAGCCAUUAUUGGAAGGAUUAUUUCUUUAAAAAAGAGUCAUUUUAAAUGAAUAUUUUCUUAUAUAGACAAAACCUACACUCUCAUUUGUGGACAUAUUGAGGAAGUAAUUCUUAGUAAAGAGAAACACAAGAAUCCUAAGAAAGAAUCUCUCAAAAUAUGUUCUUAAAAUAUUCCAAAAAUAUUCCAAAUUUGCCACAGCACUCUCUUCAUGUAAGACUUUAAAUUUUAGUUAAGUUAAGCAAAGAGUAAGAUGAGAAAAUAAUAAUAUUGAGAUUGUAUAUUUGCUUAAUAAUGUAAUCAAUUUACAUGAAAUUACCUAACUAAACCAACGCUGAAGACGUCUAUAAUUUGCCACAAGCCAUUUUCCAUUGACCCCUAUAACAGCAGUAGCUCUUUCAUAAUAUGCUGUGUGACAUAUGUAAUGCUUCAGUAAUGCUAAUUGAGGGGGAAAAAUUAUUAAUGGUAAACCCAGUAGAAUCCCCAAAUGGUAGAUAUACUUGUGCAAUUCAUGGUUAAAACAUUGAAAUAGAAGAAUAAUUUUAUUUUGUUUUUAAUAAUUUAAGAGUGUCAUAGCUAUACUUAAUAGCUAAUGAUCACUAGGAAAUACCCAUGUAGGUUUAUUGCAUUUUGGAAAUUUGUGGAUUGCUUUUGAGAAAAAAUAAUGUGCAAUUUUAAAAUAAUCAUAAAAUUGUCGAAAGUGUCCCAACUAAUAGCUAUAAAUCUAUAUGAACAAUUUCUCAUCUUUAACUAUUAUCAAAAUAACCACUUGAGUACAUUCAUUUGAAUAAUUUGCUAAUUUUCACCAAAAAAACAGUCCAACUCGCCUGAUGGUUUGCUGAGGUGUCUAGAAACAUCCCUUAAAAUGGUAGAUGUUGAACAUGUUGUCAUAGGUUUUUUUAUGCUUGUAGAGAGUAGGAAAUACAACUUCAGUCAAAUAAACCUGUGCUUUGCAUGAAGUCUAUGAUAAGCUGUGAAAAUAGAUUCAUUUGUAGUAAAGGUCAUUUGUGAUAUAUUUUAAAUAGUAUUAGAGACUUAGUGCAUACUUCUGCUCAUACGACCUCGUGUGUGUGUGUGUGUGUGUGUGUGUGUGUGUACACAUAAGUUUUAUACUUUCAGGUUCUCAUAAAAUUAUGGAAAAAUAUCUUGAUUCAGGUUUUUUGUAUGUGUUUUAAUUUGGCAAUUUCCAGCAAGUAGUAUUACUUUUUCACUUUGCAGAGACCUGAUAAGACAUUAACUGAAAUUUACCAUGAAAAGUCCUGGGAAUUCUUCAGUUGAACAUUUUUUUUUUACCUAUACUGAGCAGAGAUAUUUGAAAUUGUUGAUGCUAAAUUCAGUAUUCAUCCAUUUUUCUAUUUCACAUUAUGUUUCUCAAAGCUUACGAGUUAUGUAGGGAAAUCUGCUUGAAGACUUACAUCUCUAAGUUAGAGUUAAAAAAAUCUAAGAAGUUAAGUUCUAAUAAACAAAAGCUGUAAACUGUAUUACAGGUAGCUCUUACAGUUUGUGUUCCCAACAUGUCUAACUUACUGCAGUGCAUUAUGUUGUAGUUAUAGGAACACAAUUACUGGACCAUGGCAUGGUUUGUUUGGUGAGCUCAGCCAUCUUAUCUGUUUGAAUUACUCCACAGUCACUCUAAUCAAUUCAGCUGUGAUCAGUGGUUAAAUAUGGCUGGAAAAAAAAAUCAACCAUGAAACAGUCAAUUUAGAGACUGCCUAAAAAAUACACAUACACUGUGGGGAAAAUAGAUUCUAAUGAUAAUAAAAAAAAUUGAAUAAAAUAGCUGAAAAUAAGUUGAGAUGAAAUAGAAUUUAUUUUAACACUUGAAAUCCUCUAAAUAUUUUUGGGGGUAAGGACCAGUUUCUCAAAAUAAUAUGAACCUUUCUCUAAUCCAACUGCCACUUGCUUUAUGAAUUUUUUUGUAGAAAUGAUAAUAAGUCAUAAUUUCUACAGAAAUUUUCUCUAGAAAUAUCCUCUAUUUACAGCAUCUAUUCACUCCAUUUUUCAUUCAGAGAGUAAUGAAACACAUAAUCCUCUGCUAAGUUUGCUGUGGAAAAUCCCAUUGCAUUUCAAAGCAGUAAUCUUUCUAGUCAAAAGAUAACAUUUUUAAAGGUUGAAUUGGACCCCUGUGUUUUCCUUAACUAGACACCUGAGAAUGAAAAACACAACUGUCAAGAUAUCUCCUAGCUGGCAUUACAGGCAACUUAAUCCAUUUACUUAUUGGUAUGAUGUUCUGCUGGCAGCAGGCCAGAAUAUACUAAUAAAACACUUGAAUUCAUUAUUUAAAUGCCUAUAUUUCUCCCCCAAUCCCCAAAAAAGCAUGUCCAGUGAAGUUUUAGGGUUUUUGAAGGAGAAAGUGAGCUAGUUUCUUAGAAACUGGUAAGUUAAGAAACAUAUUACAAAUUAGAUAAUUGUAACUACAAACAAAAUUUUAAAAAAUCCUGAAAUAUGAUAAACAUGUAUCAGUUAUUUUUCAGAGUAUAUUUCAAAUAGAUGCCACAUAAUUAACUGAAUUUCUGUAGAAUCUAAGGACACACAUUAAAAUUAACAGACAAGUGACCAAAUUUCAAAGAACUAGCUUCAGAAGUAGAAAGUUUAUGGGACAUCAGACUAAGAUUGAUAUUGUCAUUAUAAAACCUCCCUGCACUUUAAAAUCAGAUAAUAUAUGUGAAGACUAAUUAAUGGAUGGUCUUUCAUUUUGUAGAGCUAUUCCUAUAAAGUAGAUGAGACUCUGAAGACUUAGCUAAACUUUCAAGAUAGGAUAGCUUUUCUUUUUUCUUUCCAUCAGAUGACUUUAGAAUGAAAAUCUCCAUAUGUGUAUAGGUCUAUGUAUACACUUGUUUGAACACAUUUAUAUUAAUAAGUAAUAUAUAUAUAUAUGUGUGUGUGUGUGUGUGUGUGUUAAGAAUCUUUUGUACUAAAGCAGUGACCUGCUGUCAUCAGUUUUCUCAAGUACUAUUCAGAAAUUUGCUUUGGUUUCUAAAAAAAAUCAAUGAAGAAAUGAGAAAUGUUUCUUAAAUAGUAGGGACUGACAUUAUAGUGAUCUUUAUUGAGCACCACCUGACAUAACUAGAUAAAAAAGAACAAUGAACUGAUCUUGCAGUAAGAACUGAAACAACUGAAAAAUAUUUACUGUUCCUAUUAAAAAUGAAUUAACCCAAACAGACAGCCUUUUAAUUGAAAUCUUUAUCACAUUUCCUUCCUAUUUAAAUGCAAAUGUAAAUCCUUUACACACUAAUAGAAAUCAGAAACUAAAAAAUGAACUACAACUUACAUGAUACAGUAACCUAAAAUAAGUUCAGGUCCAAUAUAACAUGAAACACUGAAGGUAUUAAGGUGACUUUUAUAGAAUUCUAUAUAAUGUCACUAUUUUGAGAAUUUCUAAAAUAAUUGCUUAUUUCAAGCAUUGUUUUACUUUUUAUGCUAAUUGAUAUUUAAAAUAUAUUUUUCUAAACUUUCUUAGAAGAGUAGAAAAUUAUAUUUUGGUCUUUAAUAAAUUACUAUCUACAUCACUCUAAGGUACUACAUUAUAACACCUAUUUUGCAAAGUGAAGUAUUUAUAAAUGUUUAUAUUGUAAACAAGAUUAUUUAAGUUUAACCAGAACAAUGCAUACAUUAGGUACUGUAACCAUUAGCUGUGACCUAAGCACAAUCUAAAAGAGAAAGAAAAUUUGAAAACUCCUUCAUGGCUCCUAUUGCAAGGAAGGAGACCCAGCUUGGGUUGCAUGGAAUUGAUAAAUUGGGGGUUACAUUCUGAACUAGUUCUAGUACUAGUUUUUGUUUUGUUUUGUUUUGUUUUUUUAACAGUCGAAAUCUUUUUAAUAACAAGGCAGGUUCUGGGCUUAGUUUUUGUAGCCUCGGCUGGCCCUGCGGCCUCUGGCGCGCUCGAACUUCCGGCCCUUGGAUCGCAUGUAGGGUUUGGUGUGGCUCUGUGGGGUCCCUGGGGCCUUGCCGAAAUACCUGUACACCUCUUGGCCCUUGCGCGGACCAGAGAGCAACACGGUGCCACAGCCCCUGGGGGAGUCCAGGGCCAACUGGUCGAAGGUGAGGAUCUUGCCUCCAGCUUUGACGAUGCGGCUCCGGGCACGGCUGCUCACACGCAGCGCGCACACCUUCAGUUUGGGCACCUCCUGGACCCGCACGUCAUCGGUUAUCAUCCCGACAACCACAGCGGUUUUGUUUUCCCGGCCAGGUAGCUUCAUCUUCCGGAUCAUCCGGGAAAGGGACAGAGGUGGCCGGUUGGUGCGACUCAGAACUAGUUCAGAAUGUAACCAG